GACGAACGCUGGCGGCGCGCCUAACACAUGCAAGUCGAGCGGAGAUAUUUGAAGGAAGUUUUCGGAUGGAAUUUGGGUAUUUUAGCGGCGGACGGGUGAGUAACGCGUGAGUGACCUGCCUUCCACAGGGGGAUAACGUACCGAAAGGUACACUAAUACCGCAUGAGACCACAGCACUGCUUGGUGCAGGGGUCAAAGGAGCAAUCCGGUGGAAGAUGGACUCGCGUCCGAUUAGAUAGUUGGUGGGGUAACGGCCUACCAAGUCAGCGAUCGGUAGCCGACCUGGGAGGGUGAUCGGCCACAUUGGAACUGAGGGGCGGUCCAAACGCCUACGGGAAGCAGCAGUGGGGAAUAUUGGGCAAUGGGGGAAACCCUGACCCAGCGACGCCGCGUGAGGGAAGAAGGUUUUCGGAUUGUAAACCUCUGUUCUUGGUGAAGAGGGAAAGACGGUAGCCAAGGAGGAAGCCCCGGCUAACUACGUGCCAGCAGCCGCCGCGG
rnacentral:rRNA from 1 species